UGUUAAAAAUUUUAUCCAUUUCUACUACUAAAAAUUGACAUGGUUGACACAAUAAUCAAGCAGUUACAUGUGGGUUGCCACAUGUAUUUCAUGCUAAUGUACAAUAACUAAUUUUUAACUGUAGAUUUAGAUAGAAAUUUUAAAA
rfam:Gossypium hirsutum cultivar TM-1 chromosome 22, whole genome shotgun sequence